rnacentral:rRNA from 1 species
CUAAUUAGAAGCAACGCGAAGAACCUUACCAAAUCUUGACAUCCUUUGACCACUCUAGAGAUAGAGUUUUCCCCUUCGGGGGACAAAGUGACAGGUGGUGCAUGGUUUUCGUCAGCUCGUGUCGUGAGAUGUUGGGUUAAGUCCCGCAACGAGCGCAACCCUUAAACUUAGUUGCCAGCAUUUAGUUGGGCACUUUAGGUUGACUGCCGGUGACAAACCGGAGGAAGGUGGGGAUGACGUCAAAUCAUCAUGCCCCUUAUGAUUUGGGCUACACACGUGCUACAAUGGACAAUACAAAGGGCAGCUAAACCGCGAGGUCAUGCAAAUCCCAUAAAGUUGUUCUCAGUUCGGAUUGUAGUCUGCAACUCGACUACAUGAAGCUGGAAUCGCUAGUAAUCGUAGAUCAGCAUGCUACGGUGAAUACGUUCCCGGGUCUUGUACACACCGCCCGUCACACCACGAGAGUUUGUAACACCCGAAGCCGGUGGAGUAACCAUUUAUGGAGCUAGC